UUUUAUGAUGAAAAAAGUGCAACAGUUGAAUUUCUUCGGCUGAUCAUACAUGAGGAAAGAAACCCUUUCAGAGCUUUUUAAUACUGAUG
rnacentral:snoRNA from 1 species